rnacentral:rRNA from 1 species
UACGGAAGGCAGCAGUGGGGAAUAUUGCACAAUGGGCGAAAGCCUGAUGCAGCUAUGCCGCGUGUAUGAAGAAGGCCUUAGGGGUUGUAAAGUACUUUCAUCGGGGAGGAAAAAACAAAACUAAUAAUUUUAUUUCUUGACGUUACCCGAAAAAGAAGCACCGGCUAACUCCGUGCCAGCAGCCGCGGUAAUACGGAGGGUGCGAGCGUUAAUCGGAAUUACUGGGCGUAAAGGGCACGCAGGCGGUUAAUUAAGUUGGAUGUGAAAUCCCCGGGCUUAACCUGGGAAUGGCAUUUCAAGACUGGUUAGCUAGAGUCUUGUAGAGGGGGUAGAAUUCCAUGUGUAGCGGUGAAAUGCGUAGAGAUGUGGAGGAAUACCGGUGGCGAAGGCGGCCCCUGGACAAAGACUGACGCUCAUGUGCGAAAGCGUGGGGAGCAAACAGGGAUUAGAUACC